AUUGAACGCUGGCGGCAUGCCUUACACAUGCAAGUCGAACGGCAGCACGGGUGCUUGCACCUGGUGGCGAGUGGCGAACGGGUGAGUAAUACAUCGGAACGUACCUUAUCGUGGGGGAUAACGCAGCGAAAGCUGUGCUAAUACCGCAUACGCCCUGAGGGGGAAAGCGGGGGAUCGCAAGACCUCGCGCGAUUAGAGCGGCCGAUGCCUGAUUAGCUUGUUGGUGGGGUAAAAGCCCACCAAGGCGACGAUCAGUAGCUGGUCUGAGAGGACGAUAAGCCACACUGGGACUGAGACACGGCCCAGGCUCCUACGGGAGGCAGCAGUGGGGAAUUUUGGACAAUGGGGGCAACCCUGAUCCAGCAAUGCCGCGUGAGUGAAGAAGGCCUUCGGGUUGUAAAGCUCUUUUGUCAGGGAAGAAACAGCAGCUCUAACACAGUAUGCGAAUGACGGUACCUGAAGAAUAAGCACCGGCUAACUACGUGCCAGCCGCCGCCGUAA
rnacentral:rRNA from 1 species